GUCCGGCUCCCAUAGGAGUCCGGACGAAGUCUUCUUGCAGUUGGAGUCGGAGAUGAAAUCUGGCUUUCGUAGGAGUCCGGACGAGGUCUGCCUGCAGCCGAAGUUGAGGACGAAGUCCGACUCCCGUAGGAGUCUGGAUGAAGUCUUCCUGCAGUCGGAGUCAGGGAUGAGAUCUGGCUCCCGUAGGAGCCCGGGCGAAGUCUACCUACUACUGAAGUCGGGGAUGAAGACCGGCUCCCAUAGGAGUCCGGACGAAGUCUUCUUGCAGUUGAAGUCGGAGAUG
rnacentral:lncRNA from 1 species